CCCCAGGCUUAGAGACGUGAACGGACUCGCCCCAUGUCCCCGAAGCCAGAGAGGGGCGGAGCAAAGGUUUCAAAUCAGUUUCCCGGGGACCAAAGACUUCCUGGUAGGAACAAAUGCGAAGGGAGAGUAACCACUCCGGCCCAUUCUCUCCCCUCUGCUUCAGGCUCCUGGAAGACUUGCUUUGUUGAUUUCCUUAGUUUCGGUUCUGUGUCAGAGUCCAUGUUCACAGAAAUGUGAAACAAGGAGAGGAAUACCUACUUCCUAGGGUGGUGCCGAGAGCGGAGUGUUUAGAAAGAACACGAACAGUGCCCAGUGUGACAGGAGUUCAAGAAAGUCGUAUUCCUUCCCUUUUACCUUGAUUGCACUGCCUGGUGAGCUCAGCGGAGGUUUAGGGAUGAGAAGUGAGUGGCACAGGGCUCCGAUCGGUCAGCGCCUCCAACUCAGGAACUGCCUGCAAAGUCCAGCCUCCGUCUGCAGGCACGAGCCGCACCGUUAUUUAGUGGAGACCAGACCAAGAUGCAUGAUCUCACUGGAAAAGCACCCACUCGGAGAAUCUCACCUCCCCCUCUCCCAAGCUGCACCGACUCCUGGGGAAUCCGGAGGGAGAGGGCUUGGCCAGGCUGACUAUAUAUAGCAAGGGGACAUUAGCUGGAAUCUUCUGUGUAGGAAAGUGUAAUUUUCUUUCUGCUCUUCUCAAUUACAAAAUAACAAGACUGCUAAAAAUCCAAUAGUAUGGAUGUCAAUAUUGGCGGGGACAGCCACAGGAAACUUAAUUGCACAAUGGGUACCAGUUGAAGACGGUAGGUGCUCUUUCUCGGCUUUUCUUAAUUCUAAUUAGGAAUUUACUGAUCUUACAGACUCACACACAGAGGCUUGUCACCAGGCCAGGAAUGGGUCCCAACAACGUUGGCUUCCUUUUCUGAGUCCCUGGCCUUUCCUUCGCCCCAAACGUCGUCUCCGAUUGGGGCUUGUAGCUGGUUGCGAACAUCAGCUCUCCAGUUUCUUUGCCGUGUCAGAGGACCAGAUGUUUUUUAUUUGAGAGCAAAUUGACACAUUAAAUUACACUGUGCAAACAUUAAAGCCAGCCGCGGGUAAACAGGCCGAGAUUCAUUGAAUUUUACGGGUCACAAUAAUGUUUAUGUAAUUUAACAAAUUCCUGCCCCGCUGCUGAGGCUCUCCCAGAAGUAUUAAUUUAAGAAAGAUGCGACCUGCCCAGAAGCUCCCCAUCGCCCUCCACCCCCCACCUCUGCCU
rnacentral:lncRNA from 1 species